rnacentral:lncRNA from 1 species
GGAACAGAUAAUAUUUAUCGAAACUUCAAUGCGUCAGUAGAAGCUGGCUGCUUGCAAAGACAAGAACAUCAAUAUAUAUGCAUUGGAAUUUGUUGCGCUGUAAGUAGCUUUAUAGGCACUCUAUGCCAUUGUCAAUACAUCAGUUUAUAUAGCAGCAAAAUUGUUUCUUAUCAACUACUUUUUUGUCCCUUUUUUUGCUGAGGCUUUGUAUCAUGUGGACUUCAAUUGGUGAGUAUCACUUCGAUGUUGAUAUAGUUUAUUUUGUUGCAGAGGAUAUGAAGAAGUGGAAAGGUCCCUGAUAGAAUGGGAGUUUUGCUGCUUAAGACAAAGAAUGGUAACUUAGUUAUUUCGUUUGCUUUUUAGCUGUUUCAUUUGCUUCGUACAAUGCAUUUCAGUUUUUUCAACUCCUUGCAAAAGGUGAAACUGAAUAUAUACAACAAUUUUCUAUUUGUGCAUCAAUAGAUUAUUGUGACUAAUUUAAAGAAAUUGUUGCAAUUUGGUAUCAAUUGUGUUCAGUUGUUUGGAAGCAUGACUAUGUCUGCAAGAGAUUUACUGAGGAUCCAGAUUGCAUCAUGUUCUUAAUGAGCUUGAAAGAGGAGUUGCUCUUCACCUGACAAUUGCAUCGCAUGUGAGUAAUGUCUUCUGUUACAUUUUUUAAAUUGUGUUUUCAUGUCUAAAUUAUUGAGAAUUAAGUUAUACAUAAGGGGAUUAAGUGAUUUAAAGACGUUGCAUUUUAGAAUAGGUUUUCUUAAUCGACCCGUGGUGGAACCUAGCUGUUGAGAGGCAACCAUAAGAUAGAAUCCACCGGAUAGGGCAGUACAAACAGAUCAAGUACACAUUUUUCUUCAGUUAUACAAAGUUUUCUCAACUAUACAUUCCAAAAAAUCUAUGUUAAUAUCUCUAAUAUUUUCUUCUCCAUUGCAGAUUUAUGAGAUUGGUUUGGAAUUUGAUUAUUUCAAUUCUUUUUUUUCUAGAUUAUAUUUCAAGGUUAGUCGCUAAACUCUCUCCUUUUUUAUUGGUUUUUGUUAUUAGAUUAUUCUUUGUUGCUUUGGAUUUAAGCUAUUGUUCAAUGUCUUUUCGUAUGAGUUCUGCUUUUUGCAUCGUUCUUUUUUGUUAUUAAUGUUGGAUUGUUGGCUUAUAAAUUUAGAGUGGGUUGCUUUAGAUUUUACUUUAAGUGGCUUUCGAAUUGAUUGCUGGGUUUUAAUUUAGAGCACUAUCUAAUCAAAUGAAAGGCCAAGAGUUUCUAUUUGAAUGAUGGUCCUAGAUCAUUUCAUUCGUUCCAGAAAUGUUAAUGAAUUUGAAGACUUAAAAUCCAAACUAAAGAGUAGCAUUAUCUUGGAUUGCCUAUCUUAGCAUGAUGAUUUUAAAUUACAACUUUGAAAUUUACAUUUGGAGUGUAUUUUCAUGUACAGGACAAGGUGUGGAUUAGAUAGCAGUAUCUGGUUGGAAGACAAGAUUUUGUAAAAGAAAGGGUAAGAAAAUGCUGAUGAAUUGUCUUUGUUGAUCUGUGCAUGUAAGAGCUCUUACUGAUUAUUUUGUUUUCUUUUGGCCAUGUAAAAGCUCUGUACAUAGAGUUCACAAUACAUGCAUAGUUUUUCAUUGUUCUAAAAUUUUUAAGUUCCUAUAAAUCUUUUCCUGCAUUUAUGAAUUCUAAAUAAAUGCAAAUCAUACAAAUAAUCAGAGUGGAUAAAAUUAUUGGCUUAUAUGCAUUUUUGCAGCUGGAAAUUUUUGGUAAAUACUUAACCUCUUAAUCAAAGCCUAUAUAUGCCAAUUGGUUUUGUAAGUAGCAUCAAAUAAUUAAUUGUUUUUUUCUUGGUAAGUGCCUAAAUGUUUACACUUUUAGUUUAACAGAAAAUGAUAAAUUGAGACAAAGUUGGAACCUAAUAAAUCAAUAUUAGCAAACCCAUGAACUUAUUUCGUGAUUAUCACGAUAUUGUUUCAAUAUUCUACUUUUGCUUGCAAUUCUGUUCUCUCUAGGACAUUAAGGUGCAUUUUUGGUUUUUAAGUUUCUCCGCCACAUAACAGCUGUUUGAUUGUGAUUUCUUUGUGAGAUUGGAUAUAUGAUUUAAAAAUUUGUUAACAAAUUUUAAUUGUGAUUCAAUUGUUUUUUCAAUCAUGUAAGAAGAUGCAAUCUAAGCGACUAUAAAAGAUGUUGACUAUGCUUUGGUUGAUCAAAAAAUAGAAACAUCACGUCUGUAUUGUGAAGAGGAAAUGGAGAGCAAUCUGUCUCAGUUUUGGAAUGUACUGGAAUCAAAGAAGCUAACUCAAGGUGCUAACUUUGAAUUUCCCCGAAAUAUCUUUUUUUUUAUUAAUUAUUUAGACGUAGAAAUUCUCCAUGUUAUUUUUAUUAAUUAUUUAUUUGGGAGUG